CACAUCCAACGGCUGAUGCUCCAGGCUGUAGCUUACAGAUUCUGUAAGCUAGCAAAGUCCCUGAUUGGAUCUGUCAACAAAGCUUUCAUUUUUUUUUUUUUGAAAAUUUUUUAUUCACAAAGCUGAUAUCAAAAUAUUAUUAUUUUAAAUGACAACAAUAAUAAUAGAAACCUCAGGACAUACGAGGGUGAUGAGAUGGAUCUCUUGGAAACCUCCAGAUUGGCCUUGGUGCUCUUUGAACACUGAUGGUGCCCAUAACAGGGAGGGAAUUUCUACUGCUGGGGGAUUGAUUCGCGAUCACAUGGGUCGCUGGCUUAGUGGUUUCGGGAUGAUGAUUGGUUCCUGCUCUGUUACAGUAGCGGAGCUUUGGGGUUUGUAUCAAGGGUUGCAACUAGCUUGGAAUUCUGGUAUAAGAAAGCUUAAAGUGGAAAUAGAUAGUCGUUGUGUGCUGCAGUUGGUGACCAAGCCAACAUUGGAAAUCAAUCACUAUGCUUCUCUGAUUCGAGCUAUCAAGGAUUAUUUAAAGAUGGAUUGGCAAGUUUCUGUCUCCCAUAUUUACAGAGAAGCUAACUUCGCAGCGGAUUAUAUGGCGAGCCUAGCUUUCUCCAUCCCUCUUGGUCUUACUAUUUACCAUACUCCCCCGUUGGGAGUUAGCCCUUUUUUGUUUAAGGAUGCUUAUGGGAUUGCCCAUUCUCGCUCGGUUGUUCUUUAGCUCUACUUAGAGCCCCUUUUUUACCAAAAAAAAAAAAGAAACACGUGUAAAGAUGAAAAAGGAAGAAUCCAAAUAAAGCAGUAUGCAUUGAUUGGACGAUACAUUCAUUCAAUCAAGGCACCGAGGGUGACUUAUGUUGGCACGUGGGCCUCUCACAGCAACAAGAUCAUGC
rnacentral:lncRNA from 1 species